AGGCCGCAGGGCUGUGUGGGUGCUGGGGGUGCCAGGGAGGAAGCCAGUGGGAAUGGAGGAGUGUUACCCAACAGCCGGCGCCGCAAGUCCUGCGGUGGGUUAUCUAUCUCAGGGCCUGCGCCUGAGGGAUUCCAGCUGCCUCCCACGAGGGGCCGGCAGCCAGGGCUUCCAGCGGAACACUGUCAUGUUCAAAACAUAGACGAGAGGCAAACAGGCCCAGACUGCGACACAUCAGUGGAUUUCACAUUGUCUCCAGGGAGAGCCGUCAGGGCCACAGGAAAGCAGCGGUGAGCAGGACUGAAGGAAUAUUCUAGAUCACCCAGUGGCCCGGGACUUCACUCAGUGGCUGGAAGCUUGAGCUGAGCCAGGGCUCACGAUACUGAAGGUGCCCCAUCUCUUGGGUCGGGCCCUGGGCCUGUGGCUGCACCUGGUGGAGUAUGACAACACUGUCACCCAACACUCAAGGCUUAGCCUGGACAAGAUCAUGUGAGCUGGGGCUGGGGAGGGCCGGGGAGAGGGGACGGUGACUCAGGACCUGCCCUCCACAGCCCAGUGGUCCUCCCCACACCCCGUCAGCACCACCCAGCCUGCACCUGAAGGCCCAGCUCUACCUGAGAGCCAAGCUUCCUUCUACUUGACAAACAUGGUCUAGGGCCGUCUCCACAUUGUCCUGUGCAGGGUGCCAAGGGGGAGCUCAAACCCACUGUCUUCCUUGGUUUGCAAAGACUGAAAUUGUAAUGGAGUCACGCAGCAAUGUUGAUACCAUCUUUCCUUCUGGGUUUAGAAAUUGAGGGAACCUCCCAGUGCAUAUGGGUUGGCCAAGCCACAAGCUCUUAAGAGCCAAUUUUAGACCUUUGCCAAACCCCUAAAUUCCAUGGAAGAGUUGAUUUCUAUUAAAUUCACAUAAAGUCA